rnacentral:lncRNA from 1 species
AACACUCUCCUCCUCGGGCUGCACGCUCACUCCUCGGCCCCUCACCUCCCACCCACCCCACUGAGAAGACAGCCCAACUCGGCAGGGACACGGGCACAGCCUGACUCUUCCUCAGCAGCUCCAUUGGCCUCCACGCACACAGGCUAGCGCUUUGCACCUUUUCCUGGAUAAACACUAUUCUCGAUGGCUCCCCCUCUCCUGCUGACAGAACCUGUUCCCUGUCUUGGUGGAGCUCCUUGGGAGGGAAACUCCACACGCAGCCCCACUGGGGACACAAGACCCUUGUUUGGAUGAUCCAGCCACCCCAGGGUCUGAGUGUCCACUGCCCAGGCAGGGAUGACACCCUCCUGAGGCUGAUGGAUGACAUCAUUCCCAGUACUUCCCUGGAGCCACGGGGAGAGCAAGAAGUCUCUCUGUCUUUAAACAGCUGAUUAUCCAUUUAUUGAAAAGGCUGACUUAAGCAUCUGCAGUGGUGACUUUCUGGGCUUCCCAGGAUGACUCAGUGGUAAAGAAUCCACCUGCCAAUGCAGGAGACGCAGGAGAUGUGUGUUCAAACCCUGAGUUGAGAAGAUCUCCCAGAGGAGGGCACGGCAACCCACUCCAGUUUUGUUCCCUGGGAAAUUCCAUGGACGGAGGAGCCUUGUGGGCUACAGUCUUUGGGGUGGCAGAGUCGGACACGACUGAUUGAGCACACACAAUGGUGAAUUCUGUCUCAACUCCUGGCUCAGUAGGUGGGAGAGAUCCGCGUGAUGACCUCAGAAGGACAGUGCAGGCUGGCGAGUCGCUGGUGGAUUCUCACUCGGGAAGGAUUCCAAGUCUUAGAACCUUAGAACCAUUCCUCGUGGUGAUUCUCAGAGUCCUGGUGGGCAUCCGAACUCUGAGGCUCUUUUCCUUCGCGCCUCUGAUCAGGAGUGCGCUGUCCGGCAUGACCAGUGCCCAGCACAAACCAUGUCCAGAUUACAGCGAGUGAUGCCCUGACGGCAGCUACUUGGAUCUGGAAACCAAG